AAAACAUACAUAUAUAUACCCAUCUACAUUUGAAUUUACAGAAACAAAAGGAAGGCAUUGCAUGCGCUAUUAUAAACCAACAUGUAUCUGGGGCCUGUAAAGAUAUGUAGGUGGAAGGGGAAGAAAAAAUGGUAAGAAGUAAACCAUGGACAAGGCCUGGCUCGAGGCCAAGGAGAUGAAAAGGAAGAAGAUGGAAGAAGACGAAUAGGACCAACGAAAGAAGGCACUGGACGAAGAGUCUCGGAAACAGCAGGUUGUUGAUUGCCGAAUUUGUGGUGAUCCAAACUCAGUACUUCGAUUUGUCUUCAUUGAGUUCACUGAUGAAGAAGGCGCAAGGGCUGCUUUGAGUCUCGCAGGGACAAUGCUUGGAUUUUACCCUGUUAGAGUACUGCCCUCUAAGACAGCUAUUGCACCAGUUAACCAAACAUUUUUCCCAAGGGUAUAGAGCAUUGUUGUUAUGACUAUUGCCUUUUUUUUUUAACUCUGGAAUGCAUCAGUCAUUUCCAUUUUAUAAUCUAUCAAUUGAGUACUGUUUUUCAUUACAGUAGUUGAUUUUCUUGUAGUCUGUAGCUGAA